rnacentral:miRNA from 2 species
CGAAGAAUCGCAGUCACUAGUUGU